GUGGGGAAUAUUGCACAAUGGGGGAAACCCUGAUGCAGCGACGCCGCGUGAAGGAUGAAGUAUUUCGGUAUGUAAACUUCUAUCAGCAGGGAAGAAAAUGACGGUACCUGACUAAGAAGCCCCGGCUAACUACGUGCCAGCAGCCGCGGUAAUACGUAGGGGGCAAGCGUUAUCCGGAUUUACUGGGUGUAAAGGGAGCGUAGACGGCAUGGCAAGUCUGAAGUGAAAGCCCGGGGCUCAACCCCGGGACUGCUUUGGAAACUGUCAGGCUAGAGUGCUGGAGAGGUAAGUGGAAUUCCUAGUGUAGCGGUGAAAUGCGUAGAUAUUAGGAGGAACACCAGUGGCGAAGGCGGCUUACUGGACAGUGACUGACGUUGAGGCUCGAAAGCGUGGGGAGCAAACAGG
rnacentral:rRNA from 1 species